rnacentral:rRNA from 1 species
AGCGGGUGGUAAACUCCAUCUAAGGCUAAAUACGACCACGAGACCGAUAGCGAACAAGUACCGUGAGGGAAAGUUGAAAAGCACUUUGAAGAGAGAGUUCAAGAGUACGUGAAACCGUUUAGGGGUAAACCUGAGAAACCCGAAAGGUCGAAGGGAGAAAUUCAUUCGCGUUUCGUAGCAGGCGUCCGGCGAUCGAGCGACGGAAAGGCGUUCGCGUCUUUCCGCGCCUUUUGUCGGCGCGAACCGGCAACGAACGCGUGCACUUUUCUCCCGGUAGGACGUCGUGAUCCGUCGGGUGUCGGUCUACGGCUCGCGGUGGAGCCCGUUCGUCGUCGUUCUUCGACGUACGGACGGACCCGCGUGUCCUGGCCGACUCGCUCGACGGUAUACGAAAGGUUAAAGGCCGCUCUCUCUAGGAGCGUUCGGCUCGCGGCAAGCGCGUCAGCCGCGUCGGCGAUCGGACCGAGUGCCGAUUCCGACCUCUGGCGACUGUUGGCCGUGAAGUCCUCGAACAGACCUUCGAACCGAUCCACGACGCUAUAGCUUUGGGUACUUUCAGGACCCGUCUUGAAACACGGACCAAGGAGUCUAGCAUGUGCGCGAGUCAUUGGGAAUCACUAAACCUAAAGGCGCAAUGAAAGUGAAGGUCUCCGCCUAGCGGAGACCGAGGGAAGACGAGCGGUUCGCCCUUAAAAGCGGCCGCUCCGCAUUCCCGGGGCGUCUCGUUCUCAUUGCGAGAAGAGGCGCACCAAGAGCGUACACGCUGGGACCCGAAAGAUGGUGAACUAUGCCUGGUCAG